rnacentral:rRNA from 1 species
GACGAACGCUGGCGGCGUGCUUAACACAUGCAAGUCGAACGGAAAGGCCCUGCUUUUGUGGGGUGCUCGAGUGGCGAACGGGUGAGUAACACGUGAGUAACCUGCCCUUGACUUUGGGAUAACUUCAGGAAACUGGGGCUAAUACCGGAUAGGAGCUCCUGCUGCAUGGUGGGGGUUGGACAGUUUCGGCGGUUGGGGAUGGACUCCCGGCUUAUCAGCUUGUUGGUGGGGUAGUGGCUUACCAAGGCUUCGACGGGUAGCCGGCCUGAGAGGGUGGCCAGCCACAUUGGGACUGAGAUACGGCGCAGACUCCUACGGGAGACAGCGGGGGGGAAUAUUACACAGUGGGGGGAAGCCUGAUGUAGAAACGCCGCGUGCGGAAUGACGGCCUUCGGGUUGUAAACAGCAUUGGGCUGUGACGAAGCGUGAGUGACGGUAAUGGGUGAAGAAGCACCGGCUAACUACGUG